rnacentral:rRNA from 1 species
UACGUAGGGUGCGAGCGUUGUCCGGAAUUAUUGGGCGUAAAGAGCUCGUAGGCGGUCUGUCGCGUCUGCUGUGAAAACCCGAGGCUCAACCUCGGGCCUGCAGUGGGUACGGGCAGACUAGAGUGCGGUAGGGGAGAUUGGAAUUCCUGGUGUAGCGGUGGAAUGCGCAGAUAUCAGGAGGAACACCGGUGGCGAAGGCGGGUCUCUGGGCCGUAACUGACGCUGAGGAGCGAAAGCAUGGGGAGCGAACAGG